GGAGUCGAGUAUGAAUGGGUCUACGGAAACAAGCUGUCUCUUUUUGGUUAUAUUGAAGUUUCUUUAAGGGUGCAAAGUCCCUUGAUUAGAAAAAAGACGAGAAGACCCUUAGAGUUUUUAUUAAAGAUAAGAAUUUAUUUAAGAUUUUGCUGGGGCGGCAAAGAGACAAAGCAAUUAAACUCUCUUUUUAUUGUUUUUAGAAGACGAGAAUGUUAAGAAUCAUUAAACUACCUUAGGGAUAACAGCAUAAUUAAAUUUUAGUUUGUGACCUCGAUGUUGGACUAGGAAGGCUUUUGACCAGCAGUCAA
rnacentral:rRNA from 1 species